AUACGGAGGAUCCGAGCGUUAUCCGGAUUUAUUGGGUUUAAAGGGAGCGUAGGCGGGAGAUCAAGUCAGCUGUGAAAUGUAGAUGCUCAACAUCUGCACUGCAGUUGAAACUGGUUUUCUUGAGUGCGUAAGGGGCAGGCGGAAUUCGUCGUGUAGCGGUGAAAUGCUUAGAUAUGACGAAGAACUCCGAUCGCGAAGGCGGCCGGCCGGGCCGCGACUGACGCUGAAGCUCGAAGGUGCGGGUAUCGAACAGGAUUAGAUACCCUGGUAGUCCGCACAGUAAACGAUGGAUACUCGCUGUCGGCGAUAUACGGUCGGUGGCCAAGCGAAAGCGUUAAGUAUCCCACCUGGGGAGUACGCCGGCAACGGUGAAACUCAAAUGAAUUGACGGGG
rnacentral:rRNA from 1 species